UACGUAGGGGGCAAGCGUUACCCGGAUUCACUGGGCGUAAAGCGCGUGUAGGCGGCUGGUCAAGCGUGAUGUGAAAUCUCCGGGCUUAACCCGGAAACUGCAUUGCGAACUGGCCUGGCUAGAGUGUAGGAGAGGGCAGCAGAAUUCCUGGUGUAGCGGUGAAAUGCGUAGAUAUCAGGAGGAAUACCAGUGGCGAAGGCGGCUGCCUGGCCUAUAACUGACGCUGAGACGCGAAAGCGUGGGGAGCGAACCG
rnacentral:rRNA from 1 species